UACGUAGGGGGCUAGCGUUGUCCGGAAUCAUUGGGCGUAAAGCGCGCGUAGGCGGCCCGGUAAGUCCGCUGUAAAAGUCAAAGGCUCAACCUUUGAAUGUCAGUGGAUACUGCCGGGCUAGAGUCCGGAAGAGGCGAGUGGAACUCCUGGUGUAGCGGUGAAAUGCGCAGAUAUCAGGAGGAACACCAAUUGCGAAGGCAGCUCGCUGGGACGUGACUGACGCUGAGACGCGAAAGCGUGGGGAGCAAACAGG
rnacentral:rRNA from 1 species